rnacentral:lncRNA from 1 species
CACGGCUAUAUUAUGAGGCUGGUUUUAGGGCAAGAAGAAGCCUUGACAGUCAUUCAAACGUGUCACUUCAUGGUCCAGUAUGCUUAAGUCAUUUCCUCAAGGCCACACAGUCAAUGGCAGAGCUGGAAAUGACUUCAAAAAGGAGACUCCAAGUCCAAGCCUGUUCCAGCUACAAAAGUGGCAUUCCUGGUCUUCAGCCCUGCGGGCUUGGCUCGUCGUAUGGUUUUAGCUUCAUGGGUGUGUUCCCUGAGACAGGCUGUAGUUUGCCCACAGAUGUUCUUCAGACCUGGUGUCAGGAAGAGCUCUCUUCUUACAAGCUGAACUUUCCCAAAGGGGAAUGAGCUCCCUUGGGAGAUUGUGCACUUCCUCUCCUUGGAAGACUUCAGUCAAAGGCUGAGUGACCACUGUUUGGUUGUUCUGAAAGUCGGUGAGUCUAACAUCCCUAAAGGAUAACAGUUCCUGCAGCGGAGACCUAGAAAGCUCUGACCUAGGCACUGGAGUAAAAGGACUGAGUAAACUAGAGUGCCUUCCUCCACGGAGCUUCCAGGUGAGCAGGAAGAAAGGAGCAAAAGACAUAAGGUCAAUAUGAAUAAAAUGUGUGAAAUCCACA